UACGAACCGUACAAACGUUAUUCGGAAUCACUGGGCUUAAAGGGUGCGUAGGCGGCCAUGUAAGUGAGAUGUGAAAAUCCCUCGGCUCAACCGAGGAAGUGCAUUUCAUACUGCAUGGCUUGAGGGAGACAGGGGUAAGCGGAACUGAUGGUGGAGCGGUGAAAUGCGUUGAUAUCAUCAGGAACACCGGUGGCGAAAGCGGCUUACUGGGUCUCUUCUGACGCUGAGGUACGAAAGCUAGGGGAGCGACGG
rnacentral:rRNA from 1 species